rnacentral:rRNA from 1 species
CCUACGGGAGGCAGCAGUGAGGAAUAUUGGUCAAUGGACGAGAGUCUGAACCAGCCAAGUAGCGUGAAGGAUGACUGCCCUAUGGGUUGUAAACUUCUUUUAUAUGGGAAUAAAACGUUCCACGUGUGGGAUUUUGUAUGUACCAUAUGAAUAAGGCUCGGCUAACUACGUGCCAGCAGCCGCGGUAAUACGGAGGAUCCGAGCGUUAUCUGGAUUUAUUGGGUUUAAAGGGAGCGUAGGUGGAUUGUUAAGUCAGUUGUGAAAGUUUGCGGCUCAACCGUAAAAUUGCAGUUGAAACUGGCAGUCUUGAGUACAGUAGAGGUGAGCGGAAUUCGUGGUGUAGCGGUGAAAUGCUUAGAUAUCACGAAGAACUCCGAUUGCGAAGGCAGUUCACUGGACUGCAACUGACACUGAGGCUCGAAAGUGUGGGUAUCAAACAGGAUUAGAUACCCGGGUAGUC